ensembl:lncRNA
GGGUACCAUAUGGGAGGGGGAUGAGUGGAAGACGACCAUUAAUACUACGAAUCUCUCUCUGGUCAUGCCAUUUGGUCUUACUACCUGAUGUUUUCCAGGGGUUGUGAAUGAUCUAUGUUUGUGUUUUCGUCUUACCUGGGUGACAUUUUGAUUUUUUUCAGAGUCGACUCCCGAGCAUGUGAUACAUGUACGGUUCUGAGUUCUGAAGAAUACUUUUGGAGAACCACCUCUUGUGCAUGUUCCACACCUCGGAGGUACUCUUUAUGAGCUUCAUCGUUGCGGACUGGCCUCCACCUUCCACAUUCAAGGAACUCCAGUCCUGUGGCUGCCCCCCCCUGACCGCUCUCACCUCCCACCACGUCCCCUUUCAGUGGACAUCCGCAAGGUCAUUUCGUGAGUUAAAGGCACGAGCUGUUCCCCACCGAGAGAAAUUACGACUCUGGAUAAGUGGAUACGCUGGCUGGAGGGAGCGGAGCAGUCGUUUAUGGUCUGGAUGGACCACACAAAUCUAGAGGACAUCCGCUCUGCUAAGAGGUUAAACUCUCGUCAAGCAAGGUUUGUUCCCAUCUUCUAAAUCCACCUGAACCAGCCGCGGUGAUGCGUUCACUCGCUCCGAACGGUACAACCGCUUUUAAAUGCUUCUACCUUUUGUGGCUCCGUUGCUACACACCCAACUAUGUUCAUCACUGCACUCAGUCACCAAAUAUUCUACCAUCUAUACUGAAAGUGUAGCAGCCGUCACUUGUUACAGUAUUGAUUGAAUGCAAAAACCAAUAUUUGAAAUGUGCCAUUGAUAUUUAAAUGCCAAAGUCAAGAGUUUGUAUUCAUCACAUCGCAUGCCAUAUUUUAUGGAUUCUCUUUGUCAAUAGUAUCCUGUCUUCAGUGCUGUAGUUCUAAGCUAUAUUACUUUUUUAAUAUGUUUGUGUUCUGGUCAUUUUUGUAACAUUCCGGAAGUAAACCGGAGGUUGACAGCGGAAACUAAGCGGCCGCUAGCUGCAGUCCGUUACAUCAAGAUGAAGAGAGCUUUCUGCAUUGGGAGUGAAACGAACAGAGGCGCGACACACAGCGGAGAACUGAGCGUUUCUGCAAGUCGGCAUUCUUAAAAACAUUCUUAAAAUACACUGCAAAUUUUAUUUCAAAUCUUUUAACCUCCUUUUUUUUUAUCCCUAUAAUGUUUUUUCUUUUAUGCUUCAAUUUAUCAAUGUUCUUAACUGUUUAUAAAUCUCCUCGUUUUCUGUGUGGAUGUUUUAAAUGGUUUUAUGUGAAGC